UAGCUCAGCUGGGAGAGCGCCUGCUUUGCACGCAGGAGGUCAGCGGUUCGAUCCC
rnacentral:tRNA from 1 species